AGCGAACGCUGGCGGCAGGCCUAACACAUGCAAGUCGAACGGACCCUUCGGGGUUAGUGGCGGACGGGUGAGUAACACGUGGGAACGUGCCCUUUGGUUCGGAACAACUCAGGGAAACUUGAGCUAAUACCGAAUGUGCCCUUCGGGGGAAAGAUUUAUCGCCAUUGGAGCGGCCCGCGUCUGAUUAGCUAGUUGGUGGGGUAAUGGCCUACCAAGGCGACGAUCAGUAGCUGGUCUGAGAGGAUGAUCAGCCACAUUGGGACUGAGACACGGCCCAAACUCCUACGGGAGGCAGCAGUGGGGAAUUUUGCGCAAUGGGCGAAAGCCUGACGCAGCCAUGCCGCGUGAAUGAUGAAGGUCUUAGGAUUGUAAAAUUCUUUCACCGGGGACGAUAAUGACGGUACCCGGAGAAGAAGCCCCGGCUAACUUCGUGCCAGCAGCCGCAGUAACAC
rnacentral:rRNA from 1 species